CCGUACGGGAGGCAGCAGUGGGGAAUAUUGGACAAUGGGCGAAAGCCUGAUCCAGCAAUGCCGCGUGAGUGAUGAAGGCCUUAGGGUUGUAAAGCUCUUUUACCCGGGAUGAUAAUGACAGUACCGGGAGAAUAAGCUCCGGCUAACUCCGUGCCAGCAGCCGCGGUAAUACGGAGGGAGCUAGCGUUAUUCGGAAUUACUGGGCGUAAAGCGCACGUAGGCGGCUUUGUAAGUAAGAGGUGAAAGCCUGGUGCUCAACACCAGAACUGCCUUUUAGACUGCAUCGCUUGAAUCCAGGAGAGGUGAGUGGAAUUCCGAGUGUAGAGGUGAAAUUCGUAGAUAUUCGGAAGAACACCAGUGGCGAAGGCGGCUCACUGGACUGGUAUUGACGCUGAGGUGCGAAAGCGUGGGGAGCAAACAGGAUUAGAUACCCCUGGUAGUCCAGCCGUAAACGAUGAUAAACUAGCUGUCGGGGCUCUUAGAGCUUCGGUGGCGCAGCUAAACGCAUUAAGUUAUCCGCCUGGGGAGUACGGCCGCAAGGUUUAAAACUUAAAGGAAUUGACGGNUGAGAGNGCGAGCGACACGAGGAGAG
rnacentral:rRNA from 1 species